rnacentral:rRNA from 1 species
CAGGCCUAACACAUGCAAGUCGAGCGCGCCUUCGGGUGAGCGGCGGACGGGUUAGUAACGCGUGGGAACGUGCCCUUCUCUACGGAAUAGCCUCUGGAAACGGAGAGUAAUACCGUAUACGCCCUUUGGGGGAAAGAUUUAUCGGAGAAGGAUCGGCCCGCGUUAGAUUAGGUAGUUGGUGGGGUAACGGCCUACCAAGCCUACGAUCUAUAGCUGGUUUUAGAGGAUGAUCAGCAACACUGGGACUGAGACACGGCCCAGACUCCUACGGGAGGCAGCAGUGGGGAAUCUUAGACAAUGGGGGCAACCCUGAUCUAGCCAUGCCGCGUGAGUGAUGAAGGCCUUAGGGUCGUAAAGCUCUUUCGCCUGUGAUGAUAAUGACAGUAGCAGGUAAAGAAACCCCGGCUAACUCCGUGCCAGCAGCCGCGGUAAUACGGAGGGGGUUAGCGUUGUUCGGAAUUACUGGGCGUAAAGCGCGCGUAGGCGGAUUAGAAAGUUGGGGGUGAAAGCCCGGGGCUCAACCCCGGAAUUGCAUUUGAAACUGGGUAACUAGAACAAGAUAGGGGAAGACGGAAUUCCCAGUGUAGAAGUGAAAUUCGUAGAUAUUGGGAGGAACACCAGAGGCGAAGGCGGUCUUCUGGAUCUUUGU